rnacentral:tRNA from 1 species
GCCGGAGUGGCGGAACCGGGAGACGCAGGGGACUCAAAAUCCCCCGGGCCUUGCGCCUGUGAGGGUUCGAAUCCCUCCUCCGGCACCA